rnacentral:ncRNA from 1 species
CAUUCAAAUAAAUACGAUUUUCAUAUAAUAGCAGGGAUAAGGCUUGCGAGUUUCUACCGGUUUACCGUAAAUAAACCGACUAUGAAAAUAACUGAUAUAGAU